AGUCUUACGACAUCGAAGAUUACAAUAUGCGAUUCCAAUAAACGAAUGACCUCUUCUGGGAAUGUGUCGUAGACGCGUUAUUAUAUAAAAGGUGUGUAGUUGCAGAUGGAACACAGAGCUGACUUGGCAUCAGAACGUAACGAACGAUGAAGCUUUUCAAAGUGAUCAUAUUGGCGAUCACCAUGGCCAGUUAUUUCAUGUCCACGAUGGCCAGUCCUUUCCCUGCUCCAGGAUUCGGGUACGGGCAUCACAAAGGGCACGAUCACAAAGGGCAUCACUACCACGACCACAAGGGCUACCUUCAUCACAAGCACGAGCACCACCAUCACCACUAUCAUCACCAUAAAUACGAUAAGGACGACUAUCACUAAAGUAUGAAGAUCCUGCUGCCAUAUUGAUCUGAACUGCGAUAUACUGACAUCUAGUAUCCUAUUGUUUUUGUUGUUGUUUAGAAAAGAGUGAAACAGUUUAAUGGAAUUUGUUAAAUAUCAAUAAAGUUCUU